CAAAGUUGCUAUAUACACUCAAUUCCUUACCUUAAGACCUUAACGGCUUCCUCAGGAUUAACAAUGUCAGAUUUAAUCGUGCUCCUUUCAUCUUCAAUUUCUUCUCUAACGAGCUUAGCAAUGAGACUCCUACCAGUUGCUUAUUUAGCUUGCUGACCAUAGUUGUAGCUGAAUUGGCUAAGUGUGCUGCAUACCUCUGGUAGAGGAACUUAUUCAGUAUAAAGACAAUAGCAAACAUCAUUAGCAUUAGUAGCUUUGUAUAUAUUAUUAAGACAGAGGACAUUAUCAUUUCACAGCUGCAAUGUAGAUAAUGCAAGACUGCAAUGGGACAGUUAAAAAUUUUUGCUACUUUGAACAGCUUAGAAGAUCUAUUUAAAAGGGCAAAGUGAAACAAAGGAAAUCUAUUUUACAAUACUCUGUUACAAUUAGUUACAAAUGAUAAGUGUUGUAAACACACUAAUAUGUCAAUGUAAAAUGGCGGCGUCAAAGUCUUCUUUGUGACGAAAGUUCCACGGUUUAACUACAUUUCUUUAGCCAACCUACAAAGUAGAAACAGGUGUCAUAUGAUGUUACGUUUAUCAUUAAAAAUGGACAAAAAAUACAGCUCCCUUCGUAUUGCUAUGAAUGGUCAUUUAUAAAUAUGUUGAAAUAUACUAAUAAUAUCUUUUCCGUGUCCCAGCAUUUCUGGACAUGUUCCUGUCUGACAUUUUUCACAUCAUUGAUGACAAGAUACAGACCGAUUCAUCUAUCUUGAUUAGAGCAAAGCGUUUAAAAGUGCUUCCCAUGAUAAAUUGUUGGUUAAGCUCUAUUUUAUCAGGAUCAAUUGUGAGCCAUGAGAAUGGUUUAAGAGCUAUUUUUCCUCCAGGACUCAGUGUGUAUUCAUCAAUUGUGCCAUUUUAAUACUCUCCGGGUUACUUCAGGUGUCUCUCAAGGAAGUAUC